UAGGUUUGGUCCUAGCCUUACUAUUAAUUAUAAUUAAACCUACACAUGCAAGUUUCCGCUAUCCAGUGAGAAUGCCCUCAAAAUUAUUAACAAAUUAAUAGGAGCAGGCAUCAGGCACACCACAGGUAGCCCAUAACGCCUUGCUUAACCACACCCCCACGGGAUACAGCAGUGACUAACAUUAAGCCAUAAACGAAAGUUUGACUAAAUUAUAAUUAUUAGGGUUGGUAAAUUUCGUGCCAGCCACCGCGGCCAUACGAUUAACCCAAAUUAAUAGAAAACCGGCGUAAAGUGUGUUUAGACAUUAAUAAUAAAUAAAGCUAAGAUUUAACUAAACUGUAAUACGCUCUAGUUAACAUCAAAAUACAUAACGAAAGUGGCUUUAACUACGCUGAAGACACCACAGCUAAGAAACAAACUGGGAUUAGAUACCCCACUAUGCUUAACCAUAAACUAAGAUAAUUCAAUAACAAAAUUAUCCGCCAGAGAACUACUAGCCAGCGCUUAAAACUCAAAGGACUUGGCGGUGCCCUAAACCCACCUAGAGGAGCCUGUUCUAUAAUCGAUAAACCCCGAUAAACCUCACCCAUUCUUGCCAAUACAGCCUAUAUACCGCCAUCGUCAGCCCACCCCAUAGAGAAGAAAAGUAAGCAGAAUUAUUUAUCAUAAAAACGUUAGGUCAAGGUGUAGCAUAUGAAUGGGAAAGUAAUGGGCUACAUUUUCUAAAUUAGAACACACGAACUAUCUUAUGAAAUUUAAGAUACCGAAGGAGGAUUUAGCAGUAAAUUAAGAAUAGAGAGCUUAAUUGAAACAGGCAAUAGGACGCGCACACACCGCCCGUCACCCUCCUCAAUUAAAACACAAAACAUAAUUAAUAAAAUCCAAAAAAAAAGAGGAGAAAAGUCGUAACAUGGUAAGUGUACUGGAAAGUGCACUUGGGAUAUC
rnacentral:ncRNA from 1 species